UACAGAGGUGGCAAGCGUUGUUCGGAAUUACUGGGCGUAAAGGGCGCGUAGGCGGCCUUCUAAGUCAGACGUGAAAUCCCCCGGCUUAACCUGGGAACUGCGUCUGAUACUGGGAGGCUAGAGUAUGGGAGAGGGAUGUGGAAUUCCAGGUGUAGCGGUGAAAUGCGUAGAUAUCUGGAGGAACACCGGUGGCGAAGGCGGCAUCCUGGACCAACACUGACGCUGAGGAGCGAAAGCCAGGGGAGCAAACGGG
rnacentral:rRNA from 1 species